CCGAAGCCGGUUAGCUAACCUUUUAGGAAGCGGCCGUCGAAGGUGAAACCAAUGACUGGGGUGAAGUCGUAACAAGGUAGCCGUAUCGGAAGGUGCGGCUGGAUCACCUCCUUUCUAAGGAG
rnacentral:rRNA from 1 species